GGAGAUCUUCAUCACCCCGCCGACGACCCCGGGGCUCUUCCAACACUGGGCGGGCUCUUCAAAACCUUGACGUUGACGAUGAUGAUGAUGAUGAAGGCUCUUCCAAUAAUGACGAUGAUGAAGAUGAUGAUGACGAUGAUGAUGAAGAUGAUGAUGAUGAUGAAGAUGAUGA
rnacentral:lncRNA from 1 species